UACGUAGGGUGCAAGCGUUGUCCGGAAUUAUUGGGCGUAAAGAGCUCGUAGGCGGUUUGUUGCGUCGGCUGUGAAAUCCCGAGGCUCAACCUCGGGUCUGCAGUCGAUACGAGCAAACUAGAGUGUUGCAGGGGAGACUGGAAUUCCUGGUGUAGUGGUGAAAUGCGCAGAUAUCAGGAGGAACACCAAUAGCGAAGGCAGCUCGCUGGGACGUUACUGACACUGAGGCGCGAAAGCGUGGGGAGCGAACAGG
rnacentral:rRNA from 1 species